CCCUACCCGGCCCGGCCUGGCCCAGCUGUGGGGAGCGGGGCUCGGCCUCGUCCCGCGCUCUGCUGAGGGGCUGCGCCGGGAAGGGAGUGGGCCAGCGGUUCGCGCCUGGGCACCGGGGAGCGUCUGGCCUGGCGUCAUGGCCGGGCUGGAGGGAUGCGGCAGCUGACGGAAGUCCCCGGGGAACAGCCCCCGGCGAAUUAAUUGUAUUUCGCAUUAGGGACACAAAGGAACGCAAUGAGCGAGAUUAGAAACGUUCAGUGAGUUACCCUGACCGGCAAGUAACAAAUGUCGGCUAAACAUUACGGAAUACGAGAUUCCCCCUAGCCCAGUCCGUUGCAAGUCUCCCAGAAUCAAAGGUGGAGAAGGAGGGGGAGAGCAGGAAUUUCUGGAAACUUAUUACACCAGAAUAAGAAGCCAUCGUUUUGCUUAAAAAAAAAAAAAAACUAAUUUUUUUCCUGUCUUUGCUGUAGCAUUGGAGAACAAAAGUUGAUUCGUCUUAGAAAACAUCGGCACAAAAAUAAAGGCGGACGCACCUCCAGCAAAGUUGAGUCUGAAGUGCCAAUGUAUCAGUCACGGAAGCAUUCAGGACAUGGGGUCUCUGUGCAAGAAGCCCUGACUGCGAGAAGUGCCCCCAUACUGUAUUUUCACAUGUGAAGACCCGCAGCCCUGGCGAAUUAUUUUUAGAAUCAUGGCAAUGAGGAAUCACAAAUCAGCUCGCAACAUCAGAAAUAAAGGCCCUCGUGAUUCCAGUGGAUUUUCUCUGGUUUAGUCGCCUGUAAGUGAUGUAAAAAAAUCCAUUAAAUAUUCAACAUCUAUUCCCAUUUAAGAGAAAUUAAUCUGAGAAGCUGAACUAUCUCUGUUAUUUUUAAAUUAUCUGCAAAACUCUGUAGUCCAUGUUCUUAUUCAGCUACAUUAUGUGCCUGUCAGAAAUACUUAUCUAUAGACAACUAUAAUCCAUUCAUUUCUUGGUAUGCUCUUCAGGUUACAGUUGUAAAGCAUGGAAAAAGCCUCUUGUUCAAAAAUAAAUAGAAAAGAACACUAGCAAACUAAUAAUAAUAAAAAAACUCCCUCAUGCAUCAACAAACAUACCCUUCCACUUGACUUGAAAUUUCUCUAGCUGAGAUAAUAAACUUAGCAUCAAAUUCAUUA